rnacentral:rRNA from 1 species
CCCUUAGAUGUUCUCGGCCGCACACGCGCUACACUGAAAGAGGCAACGUGUUUGCCUGAUUCGAAAGAAUUGGGUAACCCCCUAAUCUCUUUCGUGCUGGGGAUUGAGGUUUGCAAUUAUCCUUCAUGAACGAGGAAUUCCCAGUAAGUGCGAGUCAUUAUCUCGCGCUGACUACGUCCCUGCCCUUUGUACACACCGCCCGUCGCACCUACCGAUUGAAUGGUCCGGUGAAAUCUUCGGAUCUGAGAGAUGUCUGAUUAAUUUCGGACGCCUUUUGGAAAAGUUGCUUAAACCUUACCAUUUAGAGGAAGGUGAAGUCGUAACA